rnacentral:miRNA from 1 species
CCUCAGCCUGGCUGUGGUGGGCAAUCUCCUCCUACUGCGCCUUGACCUCAGCGAUGAUGCUGUCCAUGUCCAGGGAGUGGCUGUUGUCCAUGGAGCUACUGGAUCU